CUCUCGUCCUGCGUUGCUGUCGGGAGGCAGCACUGUAUGCACAGUGAAAGUGAGAGUAGCGAGAUGUUUGCGUUUUGCAUUUCUCGCACCUACGACAGACCACGAACUCUGUGAGAGGUUUGAGUUGUAGCACAUCUGUUAGGACCCGAAAGAUGGUGAACUAUGCUUGAGUAGGGUGAAGUCAGGCGAAAGCCUGAUGGAGGCUCGUAGCGAUACUGACGCGCAAAUCGUUCGUCAAACUUGGGUAUAGGGGCGAAAGACUAAUCGAACCGUCUAGUAGCUGGUUUCUUCC
rnacentral:ncRNA from 1 species